GAGGGAGUGGGGUAUAGUGACACAGUAACAGAGGGAUUGAGGGCCCUGCUCAGUGAGUUUACAUGCAAGAGGGAGUGGGGUAUAGUGACAGUAACAGAGGGAUUGAGGGCCUGCUCAGUGAGUUUACAUGUUAGAGGGAGUGGGGUAUAGUGACACAGUAACAGAGGGAUUGAGGGCCCUGCUCAGUGAGUUUACAUGUUAGAGGGAGUGGGGUAUAGUGACAGUAAC